UCUAAUUCAGGUCAAAAGGUCUUUAUUGAACCUGAUUUAGGUCAACAGAUCCCUUUUGGGUCCAGGUUUAGUCAAAUGGGUCCUCUUUGGGUCCAUGUUGGUUUAAUACCCUUGUUGGGCCGAGAUGGUUUGAAGGAUCCCCAUCGAGCCUGGUUAAAUUUUGUGGGCCCUCAAUGGGCUAGGUUUGUUUAAAGGUCUCCUUUGGGUCUAUUUUGAUAUUCCAAUAUCAAUUAUUUUAAUUACC
rnacentral:lncRNA from 1 species